AUUGAACGCUGGCGGCAUGCCUUACACAUGCAAGUCGAACGGCAGCACGGGUGCUUGCACCUGGUGGCGAGUGGCGAACGGGUGAGUAAUACAUCGGAACGUACCUUAUCGUGGGGGAUAACGCAGCGAAAGCUGUGCUAAUACCGCAUACGCCCUGAGGGGGAAAGCGGGGGAUCGCAAGACCUCGCGCGAUUAGAGCGGCCGAUGCCUGAUUAGCUUGUUGGUGGGGUAAAAGCCCACCAAGGCGACGAUCAGUAGCUGGUCUGAGAGGACGAUCAGCCACACUGGGACUGAGACACAGCCCAGACUCCUACGGGAGGCAGCAGAGGGGAAUUUUGGACAAUGGGGGCAACCCUGAUCCAGCAAUGCCGCGUGAGUGAAGAAGGCCUUCGGGUUGUAAAGCUCUUUUGUCAGGGAAGAAACACCGGCUCUAACACAGUCCGGGAAUGACGGUACCUGAAGAAUAAGCACCGGCUAACUACAUGCCAGCCGCCGCUGUAA
rnacentral:rRNA from 1 species